UACGUAGGGGGCAAGCGUUGUCCGGAAUCAUUGGGCGUAAAGCGCGUGUAGGCGGCUCGAUAAGUCUGCUGUGAAAGUUCAGGGCUCAACCCUGAAAUGCCGGUGGAAACUGUCGGGCUAGAGUCCGGAAGAGGCGAGUGGAAUUCCUGGUGUAGCGGUGAAAUGCGCAGAUAUCAGGAGGAACACCAACGGCGAAGGCAGCUCGCUGGGACGGUACUGACGCUGAGACGCGAAAGCGUGGGGAGCAAACAGG
rnacentral:rRNA from 1 species